rnacentral:lncRNA from 1 species
CAUUAAAGACCGCUCUUGAAGUUGUUUGUCGACCGGGACAGUUGAAGGAGAAACAAUACCUGAGUUUGUCUGCAUUUGCAUUUCCUCUUUCUAAAUCCCAGAGAGGGUCUCUGUAUUCUGGCUUCAGCCAAAGGAAAGAUGCAGCGUGGUAUCCACUAGGGGGCGCCGGCAUGAAGAUGGGUGUGGUUGAGGACUGUCAUCUGGCAGAGGAUCCCAGCACCAUUGAAAAUGAAAGGACUUUCU